rnacentral:rRNA from 1 species
GACGAACCGUGCAAACGUUAUUCGGAAUCACUGGGCUUAAAGGGCGCGUAGGCGGGCCGCCAGGUCCGGGGUGAAAGCCUCCAGCUCAACUGGAGAAGUGCCUCGGAUACCGGCGGCCUCGAGGGAGGCAGGGGCGUGCGGAACUUCGGGUGGAGCGGUGAAAUGCGUAGAUAUCGAGAGGAACACCUGCGGCGAAGGCGGGUUGCUGGGCUGACACUGACGCUGAGGCGCGAAAGCUAGGGGAGCGAACGGG